AUUGAACGCUGGCGGCAGGCUUAACACAUGCAAGUCGAGCGAGCGGCGGACGGGUGAGUAAUGUCUGGGAAACUGCCUGAUGGAGGGGGAUAACUACUGGAAACGGACGCUAAUACCGCAUACCAUCAGAUGUGCCCAGAUGGGAGUAGCUGGUAGGUGGGGUAAUGGCUCACCUAGGCGACGAUGCCUAGCUGGUCUGAGAGGAUGACCAGCCAGACUGGAACUGGAACCCGGUCCAGACUCCUACGGGAGGCAGCAGUGGGGAAUAGUGCACAAUUGGCGCAAGCCUGAUGAAGCCAUGCCGCGGGUGUGAAGAAGGCCUUCGGGUUUUAAAGCACUUUCAGAGAGGAGGCGUUACUCUCAGAAGAAGCACCGGCUAACUCCGUGCCAGCAGCCGCGGUAAUUC
rnacentral:rRNA from 1 species